UCGCUGUGAUGACGAUUACUUUAUCCAUUCGCAGUUUCCACCAGAGGUCUAAUGACCAAAGAUGGUUCAAAUCUUCCUUGGAUGUCUGAGCGA